rnacentral:rRNA from 1 species
UCAAGUAAUUAAGUGCAUGUGGUGGAUGCCUUGGCAGUCAGAGGCGAUGAAAGACGUGAUAGCCUGCGAAAAGCUCCGGGGAGGCGGCAAAUAUCCUUUGAUCCGGAGAUGUCUGAAUGGGGGAACCCACCUACUUUAAGGUAGGUAUUGCAACAUGAAUACAUAGUGUUGCAAGGCGAACGAGGGGAAGUGAAACAUCUCAGUACCCUUAGGAAAAGAAAUCAAUUGAGAUUCCCUCAGUAGCGGCGAGCGAACGGGGAUCAGCCCAUUAAGUUAUGUGUGUUUUAGUGGAACGCUCUGGGAAGUGCGAACGUAGAGGGUGAUAUUCCCGUACACGAAAGGGCACACAUAAUGAUGACGAGUAGGGCGAGGCACGUGAAACCUUGUCUGAAUAUGGGGGGACCAUCCUCCAAGGCUAAAUACUCCUGACUGACCGAUAGUGAACCAGUACCGUGAGGGAAAGGCGAAAAGAACCCCUGUGAGGGGAGUGAAAUAGAUCCUGAAACCGCAUGCAUACAAGCAGUGGGAGCACCUUCGUGGUGUGACUGCGUACCUUUUGUAUAAUGGGUCAGCGACUUAUAUUCAGUAGCGAGGUUAACCGUAUAGGGGAGCCGUAGAGAAAUCGAGUCUUAAUAGGGCGUUUAGUUGCUGGGUAUAGACCCGAAACCAGGCGAUCUAUCCAUGAGCAGGUUGAAGGUUGGGUAACACUAACUGGAGGACCGAACCCACUGUCGUUGAAAAGCCAGGGGAUGACUUGUGGAUAGGGGUGAAAGGCUAAUCAAGCCUGGUGAUAGCUGGUUCUCCCCGAAAGCUAUUUAGGUAGCGCCUCGGACGAAUACCAUAGGGGGUAGAGCACUGUUUCGGCUAGGGGGUCAUCCCGACUUACCAAACCGAUGCAAACUCCGAAUACCUAUGAGUACUAUCCGGGAGACAGACUGCGGGUGCUAACGUCCGUAGUCAAGAGGAAAACAAUCCAGACCGCCAGCUAAGGCCCCAAAAUCAUAGUUAAGUGGGAAACGAUGUGGGAAGGCAUAGACAGCUAGGAGGUUGGCUUAGAAGCAGCCACCCUUUAAAGAAAGCGUAAUAGCUCACUAGUCGAGUCGGCCUGCGCGGAAGAUGUAACGGGGCUAAAACUAUGUGCCGAAGCUGCGGAUGUAUACUUUGUAUACGUGGUAGGGGAGCGUUCUGUAAGCCGAUGAAGGUGUGUUGAGAAGCAUGCUGGAGGUAUCAGAAGUGCGAAUGCUGACGUGAGUAACGACAAAACGGGUGAAAAACCCGUUCGCCGAAAGACCAAGGGUUCCAGUCCAACGUUAAUCGGGGCUGGGUGAGUCGACCCCUAAGGCGAGGCCGAAAGGCGUAGUCGAUGGGAAAAUGGUUAAUAUUCCAUUACUUCUGUGUAAUGCGAUGAGAGGACGGAGAAGGCUAAAUCAGCCUGGCGUUGGUUGUCCAGGUGAAAGGAUGUAGGCAUGUAUCUUAGGCAAAUCCGGGGUACUCUAUGCUGAGAUCUGAUAGCAAGCUGUACUUGUACAGCGAAGUGGUUGAUGCCAUGCUUCCAGGAAAAGUCUCUAAGCUUCAGUUACACAGGAAUCGUACCCGAAACCGACACAGGUGGUCAGGUCGAGUAGACCAAGGCGCUUGAGAGAACUCUGCUGAAGGAACUAGGCAAAAUGGUACCGUAACUUCGGGAGAAGGUACGCUGUUGUUGGUGAUGGAACUUGCUUCCUGAGCUGACGACAGCCGCAGAAACCAGGCCGCUGCAACUGUUUAUUAAAAACAUAGCACUCUGCAAACACGAAAGUGGACGUAUAGGGUGUGAUGCCUGCCCGGUGCUGGAAGGUUAAUUGAUGGGGUUAGCGUAAGCGAAGCUCUUGAUCGAAGCCCCAGUAAACGGCGGCCGUAACUAUAACGGUCCUAAGGUAGCGAAAUUCCUUGUCGGGUAAGUUCCGACCUGCACGAAUGGCAUAAUGAUGGCGGCGCUGUCUCCAGCAGAGGCUCAGUGAAAUCGAAAUCGCUGUGAAGAUGCAGUGUACCCGCGGCUAGACGGAAAGACCCCGUGAACCUUUACUGCAGCUUGACACUGAACUUUGACCUUACUUGUGUAGGAUAGGUGGGAGGCUUUGAAGCUGGAACGCUAGUUCCAGUGGAGCCGUCCUUGAAAUACCACCCUGGUAAUGUUGAGGUUCUAACUCUGUCCCGUGAUCCGGGACGAGGACCGUGUCUGGUGGGUAGUUUGACUGGGGCGGUCUCCUCCUAAAGAGUAACGGAGGAGUACGAAGGUGCGCUCAGCGUGGUCGGAAAUCACGCGUAGAGUAUAAAGGCAAAAGCGCGCUUAACUGCGAGACCCACAAGUCGAGCAGGUACGAAAGUAGGUCUUAGUGAUCCGGUGGUUCUGUAUGGAAGGGCCAUCGCUCAACGGAUAAAAGGUACUCUGGGGAUAACAGGCUGAUACCGCCCAAGAGUUCAUAUCGACGGCGGUGUUUGGCACCUCGAUGUCGGCUCAUCUCAUCCUGGGGCUGAAGCAGGUCCCAAGGGUAUGGCUGUUCGCCAUUUAAAGAGGUACGCGAGCUGGGUUUAGAACGUCGUGAGACAGUUCGGUCCCUAUCUACCGUGGGCGCUGGAAAUUUGAGAGGAUCUGCUCCUAGUACGAGAGGACCAGAGUGGACGAACCUCUGGUGUACCGGUUGUGACGCCAGUCGCAUCGCCGGGUAGCUAUGUUCGGAAGGGAUAACCGCUGAAAGCAUCUAAGCGGGAAGCCUACCUCAAGAUAAGAUUUCCCUAGGACUUUAUGUCCUCUAAAGAGCCGUUCGAGACUAGGACGUUGAUAGGUUGGAUGUGGAAGCAUAGUGAUAUGUGAAGCUGACCAAUACUAAUUGCUCGUGAGGCUUGACUA